AGGAACUUAGGAUAGCAUUUAAACCAAGGGCCUUCAAAGCCCUAAACAGAAGUAAAAACCUUCUAGUUCCUG
rnacentral:tRNA from 1 species